rnacentral:tRNA from 1 species
GGUUUAAAUAGUUUAAAAAAAAUAUUGAUUUGUGGUGUCAAAGAUAUAAAUAAUUAUUUUAAACCA